rnacentral:tRNA from 1 species
GAUAGAUAUUGCAAUAUCAAACACUUCGUAUAUGCGCAGACCAUCUUUACUUAGGCUUGCAUUACCAGUGAUCACUU